rnacentral:snRNA from 1 species
GGAUAUGAGGGAGAUCUGGCUAUGACAUCUGUCACCGCAUUGAUCCAGGGUUGAUUAGACUGAUCUGGCUGGCUAGACAGGUGUCCCUUUCCUCCCUCACUGCUCCGUGAGCGUCCUUCCCAAAGCUGAGUGCUCAGUUGAAGAGGAUGACCUUCCCUGAUAGAGGAGGAUGGAUCUUUGGUCAAGGGUAUACAAAUAGGUGCACUCCCCUGUGUUCUACUCUAGACAAGAAAGGUGGCUCACUCUCUGUAGGGAGAGGAUUUACACUUUUCCUCAUUCUACAAAGUACCUUGUAGGUAAAGCUCA